UUGCUUUUUUUUUUUUUUUUUUUUUUUAGGUCUUAAAAUUUGGGCCUAUACAGUCACAGAAACUGGCACACGUUUUACACUCGAUUACGGCUACCCGAAGAGAAUGGGAGACCAGAGAGUUUCACAUAUGGAUGCUCUGGUCGGGUUCGACAUGUCGUAUAUGCAUUAUAAAUCAGUCAGGCUUUUUAUAUUAAAGGGCAGAAGAUUCUGGGAAGUGGUUCCUAAAUACAACUACGUUGGUGGUGCUUACUCAAUCACGCAUUUCUUCGAAAUAUUCCAAACCGCUACGACACAACAUUGACCGUUAAUGACGUUGUGUACUUUGUGUCCAAUAACAUGUUUUAUCAAAUGAAACUUCCCAGCAGGUCUGUGAGUUCCAUCGGCAUUCCUAUGGAGAGUGUGCUGUUGAGAUGUCGGAAUUAUUAAGUCUUUUCAUUUUUUAUUAAGGAGCGACGGAGACGAAGGCGGUAAGGGUGGGGAAUGGGGAUUUGCAUCAACAUUCUUGACAAAGUCAGACAGUCUCUGAUAACCAGCGAUAAUACAACAUAGGCUGCUGCUGCCGCUACUGCUGCUGCUGCUGCUGCCAUCCUGAUAAUGUUGUUGUCGGUGUUAUUGCUGUUGAGGAGGAAUUUCCUGCUGCAGC